rnacentral:tRNA from 1 species
GCCGACGAAGCUCAACGGGUAGAGCAUGCGCCUUGCAAGCGCAAGAAAACCGGUUCGAGGCCGGCCGUCGGCUCCA